rnacentral:lncRNA from 1 species
UAAAGAUCAAAUUGAAAUAUAAUUUUAUUAGAAUACAAAGAAAGCGUAUUAAUUUUGGAAUAAAUUUUAAAUACCACUCCUGUAGUUUCGCAAUUUCUCACUUUAGUAUCUUAGCUAUCGUUUGGUUCGGGGUUAAGAAAAAAUUAGUUAUUCCAGGAAUAAGGUUAAGUUCAGGGUUAAGAUGGGGUUAAAGUAUUUUUGUAUUUGCUGGAGGUUGGAAUUAGCUCAGGAUAGUGAAAAAUAGUAUUUUGUUAGAGUAGGUGAGAUAAUAAAGAUAGUGGAUUAUUAUGAAUAGAAAAUAGUGUUUGGUUGAGAUUAAUUUGGUGGGGUUAUGUGGGGUUAGCUAACCCGGGAUAGCCCAUUUGAGGUGGGAUUAGCUAACCCAAUCUAUUUUUUGGGGUGUUUGGGAAUAAUAUGGGGGUUAAGGAGUUAUUCCACCCUUAACCCCAACCAAACAAAGGCUUAUGGUUUAGAGUGUAUUAAUUUAGUAAUUUACAGUUUCAUUUUACUUUUUUUAUCGGCUCAUUUGUUAAUAUUUUCUAAAUUAUAUAUCAGAUACCCCUCACUUUUGUACCUUUUAGUUUUAACUUUCUCACUAAUUUAACGAAAAAAAAUUAUUAGUGAAGGAUAAUAAAAAGAGAAAAAGAAAACCACAGGAAAAAUGUGAAACCACAGGAAUGAUAUUUAAAGUAUUUUCUUAAUUUGAACUUGUGAAUAGAUCUUAAUAUCGAACAAAUUGUUAGACUGUAUUGUUG